rnacentral:rRNA from 1 species
CCUACGGGUGGCAGCAGUGAGGAAUAUUGGUCAAUGGACGCAAGUCUGAACCAGCCAUGCCGCGUGCAGGAAGACGGCUCUAUGAGUUGUAAACUGCUUUUGUACGAGGGUAAAUCCGAUACGUGUAUCGGGUUGAAAGUAUCGUACGAAUAAGGAUCGGCUAACUCCGUGCCAGCAGCCGCGGUCAUACGGAGGAUUCAAGCGUUAUCCGGAUUUUUUGGGUUUAAAGGGUGCGUAGGCGGUUCGAUAAGUUAGAGGGGAAAUCCCGGGGGUCAACUCCGGCACUGCCUCUGAUACUGUCUGGCUAGAGUUUAGUUGCGGUAGGCGGAAUGUAUGGUGUAGCGGUGAAAUGCAUAGAGAUCAUACAGAACACCGAUUGCGAAGGCAGCUUACCAAACUACGACUGACGUUGAGGCACGAAAGCGUGGGGAGCAAACAGGAUUAGAUACCCGGGUAGUC